UACGUAGGGACCAAGCGUUGUUCGGAUUUACUGGGCGUAAAGCGCGUGUAGGCGGUUCGAUAAGUCUGCUGUGAAAGUCCAGGGCUCAACCCUGGGAUGCCGGUGGAUACUGUCGGGCUAGAGUGCGGAAGAGGCGAGUGGAAUUCCCGGUGUAGCGGUGAAAUGCGCAGAUAUCGGGAGGAACACCAAUUGCGAAGGCAGCUCGCUGGGACGUAACUGACGCUGAGACGCGAAAGCGUGGGGAGCAAACAGG
rnacentral:rRNA from 1 species